UAAUACGUAGGGGGCGAGCGUUGUCCGGAUUUAUUGGGCGUAAAGAGCUCGUAGGCGGCUAAGCAAGUCGGGUGGGAAAUCUCCAGGCUCAACCUGGAGCCUUCGCCCGAUACUGCUUUGGCUUGAGUCCGGUAGGGGAGUGUGGAAUUCCCGGUGUAGCGGUGAAAUGCGCAGAUAUCGGGAGGAACACCGGCGGCGAAGGCGGCACUCUGGGCCGGUACUGACGCUGAGGAGCGAAAGCGUGGGGAGCAAACAGGAUUAGAUACCCUGGUAGUCCACGCCGUAAACGUUGGGCACUAGGUGUGGGGCCUUAUCAACGGGUUCUGUGCCGCAGCUAACGCAAUAAGUGCCCCGCCUGGGGAGUACGGCCGCAAGGCU
rnacentral:rRNA from 1 species